GACGCUAUGGCCGAGUGGUCCAAGGCGCAGGAGUAAGGUUCCUGUCCUCCGGGGCGUGGGUUCAAAUCCCACUGGCGUCA
rnacentral:tRNA from 1 species